CAGGAGCUUCUCCAUGCCACGUGCAGGUCAUGGGCUGCCGUCGCCGCCUAGGAAGGCAGCUCCACCGUGCACUGGCGGAGGGAGAAGCCCCGUGUUUCCAGUUGGUCCAGGGCCGCGCCACCACACGCUGGGGGAUAGUGGUCGAGGGCAUCGCCUUGCCGUUGUCAUGGUCCGCGACUUCGCCGAGGUCGCCGCCUGCGCGUGCAGGCUGCGGUCCUCAGGCACUCUGCUCUUAGAGCCGCCUCUGCGCCGGAGGACGUCGACAUGCCACGCAUCGGAAGUCGAGGCCGAGCCAAGUGGCAAGGGGGCGCCAACACACCGCGUGCUGUGGAGCGCCGGGCGGUUGACGGCCACUUUCGGGAGCGUCAUCCUGCGCGUCUCCGUGUGAUGGAGGCAGGGAGUCGGAGUCGAGCGCCUGAGGGCCCGCCACCGUUUACGAUGCCAGAGGUCAAGCCGAGGCCAGACGAAGCCGAUGCCGUCGUCGUUCACGUUCUUGAUGGCGACAAGCGCCACCACCAAAUCCAAUGACGAUGGGUAUCGCUCUCGAAGAGGCAGUUAGUAUUCGAGAAAGAAGAGGCAGUUAGAGAUCGAGAGAUUUCUGUCUUGGCCGUGCACGGGGCGAGUCUGCCGCUUGGAAGCUUUUCCGCCGGGGUGAGGGCCACCGCGGUAGCGGGCAACAGGCCGAACCGAGGGCUGCAGUCGUAGAACUCGCAAGCGAUGUCGUAGCCAGUCGUCGAUGGGAUCGCUCCACCGGAAGCGUGCUGAUAACGUGUUGAAAGGGAAACGAGAGACAAUCCAGAGAGCCUUGGCACAGAUGUGAAAGUGAAUCGUCGUUCUCAUUGAUGAUGACAUUUACACAUAUAUAUAGCCCCGAAGAGCGGAGAAGAUCAAAAUGGAAGUCACCCGGCCGGGACGCGAAAUCUGCACGGUGACGGGCUGCUCUAAUUUUGCGGCGUGGGUGGCGUGGCUGAUACUAGAUUCCAAUCUUGUCCCUCCGCCCUCCAGGGAGGAGAAGAGAGGCAACCAAGUGAUGAUACAAUUUUAUUCAGGUUCGUUUUGCAAUAAUUUUUGUGGAACAUGGUUAUGUGCAAGACGCUCUCAGGUGUAAUCUCUUGCGGGAAACUAUAAGA